AUUGAACGCUGGCGGCAGGCCUAACACAUGCAAGUCGAACGAGUGGCGGACGGGUGAGUAAUGUCUGGGAAACUGCCUGAUGGAGGGGGAUAACUACUGGAAACGGUCGCUAAUACCGCAUACCCUCGGAUGUGCCCAGAUGGGAUUAGCUAGUAGGUGGGGUAAAGGCUCACCUAGGCGACGAUCCCUAGCUGGUCUGAGAGGAUGACCAGCCACACUGGAACGUGGACACGGUCCAGACUCCUACGGGAGGCAGCAGUGGGGAAUAUUGGACAAUGGGCGAAAGCCUGAUGCAGCCAUGCCGCGGGUGUGAAGAAGGCCUUCGGAUUGUAAAGCACUUUAAGUUGGGAGGCGGUACCAACAGAAUAAGCACCGGCUAACUUCGUGCCAGCAGCCGCGGUAAUAC
rnacentral:rRNA from 1 species